rnacentral:rRNA from 1 species
GGGCGUAGAGGGCUCGCAGGCGGUUUCUUAAGUCUGAUGUGAAAGCCCCCGGCUCAACCGGGGAGGGUCAUUGGAAACUGGGAAACUUGAGUGCAGAAGAGGAGAGUGGAAUUCCACGUGUAGCGGUGAAAUGCGUAGAGAUGUGGAGGAACACCAGUGGCGAAGGCGACUCUCUGGUCUGUAACUGACGCUGAGGAGCGAAAGCGUGGGGAGCGAACAGGAUUAGAUACCCUGGUAGUCCACGCCGUAAACGAUGAGUGCUAAGUGUUAGGGGGUUUCCGCCCCUUAGUGCUGCAGCUAACGCAUUAAGCACUCCGCCUGGGGAGUACGGUCGCAAGACUGAAACUCAAAGGAAUUGACGGGGGCCCGCACAAGCGGUGGAGCAUGUGGUUUAAUUCGAAGCAACGCGAAGAACCUUACCAGGUCUUGACAUCCUCUGACAACCCUAGAGAUAGGGCUUUCCCUUCGGGGACAGAGUGACAGGUGGUGCAUGGUUGUCGUCAGCUCGUGUCGUGAGAUGUUGGGUUAAGUCCCGCAACGAGCGCAACCCUUGAUCUUAGUUGCCAGCAUUCAGUUGGGCACUCUAAGGUGACUGCCGGUGACAACC